AGCAGCCGCGGUAAUUCCAGCUCCAAUAGCGUAUAUUAAAGUUGUUGCAGUUAAAAAGCUCGUAGUUGAAUUUCGGGGUUAGUAGGUUGGUCAUGCCUCUGGUAUGUACUGGUCUCACUGAUUCCUCCUUCCUGAUGAGCCGUAAUGCCAUUAAUUUGGUGUUGCGGGGAAUUUGGACUGUUACUUUGAAAAAUUGAGUGUUUAAAGCAAGCUAACGCUUGAAUACAUUAGCAUGGAAUAAUGAAAUAGGACGUUAAUCCUAUUUUGUUGGUUUCUAGGAUCGACGUAAUGAUUAAUAGGGAUAGUUGGGGGCAUUAGUAUUCAAUUGUCAGAGGUGAAAUUCUUAGGAUUUAUUGAAGACUAACUACUGCGAAAGCAUUUGCCAAGGAUGUUUCAUUAAUACAAGAACGAAAGUUAGGGGAUACGAAGACGAU
rnacentral:rRNA from 1 species